rnacentral:lncRNA from 10 species
GGCAUACCAGCCGACCUGUUGGUCGCCUCUUUUCAAGUCCCCCUCAUUGCUUAAGACCUUUCAUCAUUCCUAGGCCUGUGUAUAAUCUUUCUCUCUUUUACACCCCCCGCCCCUACCCUGGCAAUCAGGGCACACAUCGAAUCCUGCCGGCUACUUUAACAGCUUCAGGCAGACCCCCAUGGUUUCCUCCCGGCGAGGCACUUUGAAGUCCUGAAGAAAUAAGUGUGAGGUGGUAUGAGAGGGGCUCCUCGGUGACUUCCACAGGCCUCCAUAUCAGGCCUUCCCCUGCAGAAUUCCAUGGACCUCUCGGGGGUCCAGGACUCCUUCACAGCAGGGAGGCCCCGAACAGGAACCUCGGGCCCUGCCUCGGGAUCAGCGGGAUCAGCGUUCCUCCGGGGCUGACUGGAGAACUUUCCUUUAUCUGCAGGACCCGCUGGGGUCUCCCGGGCCUAGGCUUCCCUCGGAACUGCAUCUCGAAGGGCAGCUCAGCUCGCACUCCGCGCACCUACUGUGUGCUCUCUAAGCUGGACACCAGGAAAGCUCUGCGACUCUGCUGUGAACUCUGGGGUCAGUGAGACCCCGGGGUCAAAAGCUGGCUCUGCCGCUCACCAUGGCUGUGACCCUGAGAAAGUUGUCUAACUUCCCUGAGCUUCGCCAGCUCUGAGCCAAAUGACCUGAGCUCACACACGGGCUCUGCCAGACACUGGUUGCAUAACCUUGAACAAGUUUCCUCAUCUUUCUGUGCCUCGGUUUUCUCAUCUGUAGAAUGGGCAUAACAUGGUGCAGUGUUUCUACUUGGGAGGGAUAAAAAUGGUCUGGAAGUUGAUAGUGGUGACGGCUGCACAACCCUAUGAAUAUAAUUCACAUCGCCAGGUUCUGAUAUGAAUUAUAAAAUAUAAAUUAUAAAAAUGAUAAGCUUUAUAUAUUUUUCCACAAUUUUUAAAAAUAUGCCAAGAAGCAAUGGAUUGUACACUUUCAAUGGGUAAAUUGUAUAGUACGUUAAUUUCUCUCACUAUAACUGUUUUUAGAAAAUGUUAAGAAUGGAGAUAAUAAUAAUGUUACCUACCUCUAAGGGUCAUUAGAGGAGAAUGAAUGAGUUCACACAGUGCUUAGAAGAGCUUACAAUAGUGACCAGCACAGGAUAAACCCUUAACUGGUGUUGACUGUCAUAUCAAAUAUACCUCAUAUGUCACUUCGUUUCAUCUCUGAAACAACUCUACGGGUUAAAAUGUAUUUUUCCUUAUUUUAUGGGCAAGAAAAUUGACAAUCAGAAAAGUUAAGUCACUUUUUUUUUUUUUUUUUUUGAGACGGAGUCUCACUCUGUCGCCCAGGCUGGAGUGCAGUGGCGCGAUCUCAGCUCACUGCAAGCUCCGCUUCCCGGGUUCACACCAUUCUCCUGCCUCAGCCUCCUGAGUAGCUGGGACUACAGGCACCCCCCUCCACCACGCCCGGCUAAUUUUGUUUUUGUAGUUUUAGUAGAGACGGGAUUUCACCGUGUUAGCCAGGAUGGUCUCGAUCUCCUGACCUCGUGAUCCACCCGCCUAAAUGCUGGGAUUACAGGUGUGAGCCACUGCGCCUGGCCAAGUUAAGCCACCCAUGUGGAAGUUGCAGAGCCAGGAUUCAAACCCCAAUUACGUCUGAUGCCACAGUUAGUCCAGGUCUUGGGGAAGAUGUUGAGAAGAUGGUAUGUCGCUGUCUUACCUGGCUGAGUAGCCACAAGCAACAAGCCAAAGGGCACCCUGAGGGGAGAACACUGUGGCUCUCAGUGGCCGCCUCGGGAGAAACAGCAGCAGCUACACCUGCAGGUGGGGGGUGGGGAAAGAGGCUGCGGUAGGCAAGCGAGUGGUGGAGAUGGGGGAGGAUGCAACUUCCCUGAUCCAUUUAGAACUGAAACGUCCCACUCACUAGUGCCACCAGCUCCCACUAUAGCCAGUGCACCUGACAUGCAACAAGAGCUUGAAACCGCGUCACCUUCCUGAGGAAACAGAAGCAUGACGGGGUUUGGGGAUCGGUGAGAGUCUGGGUUUUCUGGGGCCUUUUUCAUUUUGUUUGAGGAUCCUUUUUAAAUUGUUAUUAUUCGACCCACUCAGAAAUGCCUGAACUUUCCGCUUCCAAGUUGGCUGGAAAUCACCUCACAGGGACGUUGCUAAGUGAAAAUUAAAGUUCUUGACAUUUGAGAUGUCAUCCUGCUCAGACACGAAAGAAAAGGUCACCAGUGUAAAGGGUAACCCAUGAGUGGUGAGGUUCCCACAGCAACACCCAAGUAACACCAGAUACCUCUGAGAUUGCUGCUAUCAAGCCACAGCCCCCAGGAGCUCCCAAGCAGGGGGCCUCCCCCUUGGCUGGAAGAGCAGGAGAAGAUUCUGGGCUCCAUGAGAGGGCUGGCAGCUGUAGAGGCUGCCUGGCCUGGGAUGCUCCAUUCCCCUUCAGGAUGUCCAGCUGGGCUGGACCGGCCUCUUCCAAAAGUGGAACUCGCAUUUGACCCCUGGGGGAGGCCAUGGUAGAUCUGAGGGAGCCAAAGAGGUCCCCAAGCCAGUCCAGGAGGCAGGACAGGGGCCUGGAGCCAGGAGACAGAGCAGUGGAUUCAAAGCCAAAGGGGCUGGGUUGAUUCACUUUCUUCUCACGGCAGCCAUCCGAAGCGAGGGCUGCUGUGAUUCAUGGUGGGGGAACAGCUAGAGCCAUGGGGCGGCCGGUGGGACCAAAUCAAAGGGUGAUGGCCAGGCACGAGCGCUGCCAGAGGUGGCCCGUGCCGGCCUCACAGGGCAGCGAACGGGGUCCGGGUCAGGUCACGCCUCAGGAGCCAGAACAGCUCAUGUCAAACCAAGACAAGGUGUGAACCAGGUCAAGAUAGCUCACCUUCAAAUCUGAAAACAGCCCCACGUUGAGGACAGGUUUGCAGCAAACCUAAAACCUGGAAUUUGAGAGGUCAAACACAGUCCCAGUCUAAACACAUUUGCUUUAAAGUAAGAAAAAGUGAGGUCUGGAGCACAUCUGGAGUUUCACAUCUGGAGUGCAAGUGGCACCGUUCAAAACGGGACUUCGCGUUUGAGCCCAAGGCCCCCUCGGCUCCCUGGUCACCUCCCCGACCGGGGGCAGAGCAGAUGAGCUCCAGACAGCCAAGGGGGCAGCACUCCAGCUUCCUCCCCUCCCUCCUCCCAGGCCUGCAGGGGAGAGGAACUUUCACCCACGUGGGGGCCCCUCCUCCACUGCAGCUCUUCAUCUUAGAAAGAUGCCAGGUAGGAUGUAACCUGUGGCCACCGCGGCAGCACGGCCACCCCAUCCUCCUGUCCCGACGGCACAAAAUGGCUGCUGGGUCCUUCUUCCACUCUGCAAAGUAGUUGGAUCUCCUUCAGCAGUGGUCCUCAGACCAUGGCUGUCCCCUCGGUCUCCAACUUAUUCUCUCCCUCCGGCCAUCUUCCAACAGCCUCCUAGCUGGCUCGCAGUGACAUGCAGCGUGAGCUACCAGCCCUCCAUAUCAGGGACCCCCCAAUGUGAGGGCCGCAGAGCUG